CCUACGGGUGGCUGCAGUGGGGAAUAUUGGACAAUGGGCGAAAGCCUGAUCCAGCCAUGCCGCGUGUGUGAAGAAGGCCUUCGGGUUGUAAAGCACUUUCAGUGGGGAAGAAAGCCUUGGGGCUAAUACCCUCGAGGAAGGACAUCACCCACAGAAGAAGCACCGGCUAACUCCGUGCCAGCAGCCGCGGUAAUACGGAGGGUGCGAGCGUUAAUCGGAAUUACUGGGCGUAAAGCGCGCGUAGGUGGUCUGAUAAGCCGGUUGUGAAAGCCCCGGGCUCAACCUGGGAACGGCAUCCGGAACUGUCAGGCUAGAGUGCAGGAGAGGAAGGUAGAAUUCCCGGUGUAGCGGUGAAAUGCGUAGAGAUCGGGAGGAAUACCAGUGGCGAAGGCGGCCUUCUGGACUGACACUGACGCUGAGGUGCGAAAGCGUGGGUAGCAAACAGGAUUAGAUACCCUGGUAGUC
rnacentral:rRNA from 1 species